UACGGAGGGUGCAAGCGUUAUCCGGAUUCACGGGGGUUAAAGGGUGCGUAGGAGGGCAGGGAAGUCAGUGGUGAAAUCUCCGAGCUUAACUCGGAAACUGCCGUUGAUACUCUCUGUCUUGAAUACCGUGGAGGUGAGCGGAAUAUGUCAUGUAGCGGUGAAAUGCUUAGAUAUGACAUAGAACACCAAUUGCGAAGGCAGCUCGCUACACGAAUAUUGACUCUGAGGCACGAAAGCGUGGGGAUCAAACAGG
rnacentral:rRNA from 1 species